UACGUAGGGUGCGAGCGUUGUCCGGAAUUAUUGGGCGUAAAGAGCUUGUAGGCGGUUUGUCGCGUCUGCUGUGAAAAUCCGAGGCUCAACCUCGGACUUGCAGUGGGUACGGGCAGACUAGAGUGUGGUAGGGGAGACUGGAAUUCCUGGUGUAGCGGUGAAAUGCGCAGAUAUCAGGAGGAACACCGAUGGCGAAGGCAGGUCUCUGGGCCACUACUGACGCUGAGGAGCGAAAGCGUGGGGAGCGAACAGGAUUAGAUA
rnacentral:rRNA from 1 species